GACGAACGCUGGCGGCGUGCUUAACACAUGCAAGUCGUACGGUAAGGCCCUUUCGGGGGUACACGAGUGGCGAACGGGUGCGUAACACGUGAGUAACCUGCCCACAACUUUGGGAUAACGCUAGGUAACUGGUGCUAAUACUGGAUAUGUGCCCCUGCUGCAUGGUGGGGGUUGGAAAGCUCCGGCGGUUGUGGAUGGACUCGCGGCCUAUCAGCUUGUUGGUGGGGUAGUGGCCUACCAAGGCGGCGACGGGUAGCCGGCCUGAGAGGGUGACCGGCCACAUUGGGACUGAGAUACGGCCCAGACUCCUACGGGAGGCAGCAGUGGGGAAUAUUGCACAAUGGGCGCAAGCCUGAUGCAGCAACGCCGCGUGCGGGAUGACGGCCUUCGGGUUGUAAACCGCUUUCAGCAGGGACGAAGCUUUUUGUGACGGUACCUGCAGAAGAAGCACCGGCUAACUACGUG
rnacentral:rRNA from 1 species